AUUGAACGCUGGCGGCAGGCCUAACACAUGCAAGUCGAACGGUAACAGGAAGCAGCUUGCUGCUCCGCUGACGAGUGGCGGACGGGUGAGUAAUGUCUGGGAAACUGCCUGAUGGAGGGGGAUAACUACUGGAAACGGUAGCUAAUACCGCAUAACGUCGCAAGACCAAAGAGGGGGACCUUAGGGCCUCUUGCCAUCGGAUGUGCCCAGAUGGGAUUAGCUAGUAGGUGGGGUAACGGCUCACCUAGGCGACGAUCCCUAGCUGGUCUGAGAGGAUGACCAGCCACACUGGAACUGAGACACGGUCCAGACUCCUACGGGAGGCAGCAGUGGGGAAUAUUGCACAAUGGGCGCAAGCCUGAUGCAGCCAUGCCGCGUGUAUGAAGAAGGCCUUCGGGUUGUAAAGUACUUUCAGCGGGGAGGAAGGGAGUAAAGUUAAUACCUUUGCUCAUUGACGUUACCCGCAGAAGAAGCACCGGCUAACUCCGUG
rnacentral:rRNA from 1 species